GAUGAACGCUGGCGGCGUGCCUAAUACAUGCAAGUCGAGCGAACAGACGAGGAGCUUGCUCCUCUGACGUUAGCCGCGGACGUGUGAGUAACACGUGGAUAACCUACCUAUAAGACUGGGAUAACUUCGUGAAACCGGUGCUAAUACCGGAUAAUAUCUUCAACCGCAUGGUUCAAUAGUUAAAGACGGUUUUGCUGUCACUUAUAGAUGGAUCCGCGCUGCUUGGGCUAGUUGGUAAGGUAACGGCUUACCAAGGCCACGAUGCGUAGCCGACCUGAGAGGGUGAUCGGCCACACUGGAGCUGAGACGCGGUCCAGGCUCCUACGGGAGGCAGCAGUAGGGAAUCGUCCGAAAAGGGCGGAAGCCUGACGGAGCGGCGCCGCGUGGGUGAUGAAGGUCUUCGGAUCGUAAGACUCUGUUAUUAGGGAAGAACAAAUGUGGAAGUAGCUAUGCACGUCUUGACGGUACCUGAUCAGAAAGCCACGGCUAACUACGUG
rnacentral:rRNA from 1 species